rnacentral:rRNA from 1 species
CAGCAGCCGCGGUAAUACGUAGGUGGCAAGCGUUGUCCGGAAUUAUUGGGCGUAAGGCGCGCGCAGGUGGUUUAAUAAGUCUGAUGUGAAAGCCCACGGCUCAACCGUGGAGGGUCAUUGGAAACUGUUAAACUUGAGUGCAGGAGAGAAAAGUGGAAUUCCUAGUGUAGCGGUGAAAUGCGUAGAGAUUAGGAGGAACACCAGUGGCGAAGGCGGCUUUUUGGCCUGUAACUGAUACUGAGGCGCGAAAGCGUGGGGAGCAAACAGGAUUAGAUACCCGUGUAGUCCCUGUCUCUUAUAC